ACUAAAUAGAUACCCAGGUAGUCCACGCCCUAAACGAUGUCUACUAGUUGUUGGUGGAGUAAAAUCCAUGAGUAAACGCAGCUAAACGCGUGAAGUAGACCGCCUGGGGAGUACGGUCGCAAGAUUAAAACUCAAAGGAAUUGACGGGGGCCCGCACAAGCGGUGGAUUAUGUGGAUUAAAUUCGAUGCAACGCGAAAAACCUUACCUGGCCUUGACAUGCCACUAACGAAGCAGAGAUGCAUUAGGUGCCCGUAAGGGAAAGUGGACACAGGUGCUGCAUGGCUGUCGUCAGCUCGUGUCGUGAGGUGUUGGGUUAAGUCCCGCAACGAGCGCAACCCUUGCCAUUAAUUGCCAUCAUUUAGUUGGGCACUUUAAUGGGACUGCCGGUGACAAACCGGAGGAAGGUGGGGAUGACGUCAAGUCCUCAUGGCCCUUAUGGCCAGGGCUUCACACGUAAUACAAUGGUCGGUACAGAGAGUUGCCAACCCGCGAGGGGGUAGCUAAUCUCAGAAAGCCGAUCGUAGUCC
rnacentral:rRNA from 1 species